GAUGAACGCUAGCGACAGGCCUAACACAUGCAAGUCGAGGGGUAGCAGGAUGUAGCAAUACAUCGCUGACGACCGGCGCACGGGUGAGUAACGCGUAUGCAACCUACCUUCUACAGGGGGAUAGCCCGGAGGAAUCCGGAUUAAUACCCCAUAAAACAGGGACUCCGCAUGGAGAUAUUUGUUAAAGAUUAAUCGGUAGAAGAUGGGCAUGCGUUCCAUUAGCCAGUUGGUGAGGUAACGGCUCACCAAAGCAACGAUGGAUAGGGGAACUGAGAGGUUUAUCCCCCACACUGGAACUGAGACACGGACCAGACUCCUACGGGAGGCAGCAGUGAGGAAUAUUGGUCAAUGGGCGCGAGCCUGAACCAGCCAAGUCGCGUGAAGGAAGACUGCCUUAUGGGUUGUAAACUUCUUUUAUAUGAGAAUAAAAAGAGUUACGUGUAACUUAUUGCAAGUAUCAUAUGAAUAAGCAUCGGCUAACUCCGUGCCAGCCGCCGCAGUAA
rnacentral:rRNA from 1 species